AAAUUGCUACAUUAUUCUGAAUGCAUUCCCAAUCAAUUUUUUUAUGUGCACACAACUAAAAUAGGGCAACGAUUGCUACAAUAAUUACCUGAAAAUGGACGUAUCGUGCUUAAGGACUGUAAAGUAACGAGUUCUGCUGAAUUUUCUUAUUAAAAUGCGCGGAUAAAUAGCAGUUACGUUUUGAAGAAAGUAUGUAAUGAUCAAACAUGCUACGACGUUACUUUGUCCUUGACCUAUGAUAAACUUCACCACAACUGAAAGCAACUUUUAACAAAACUUACAAGAGUGUGCUGCGUUUGCUAUGCCUAACCAUUAAAUUAAACCAAUUUGACUGACUCUUGCCGCCAACAUAGUAACAAAACGAACAAUACAAACACCACCUAUAUCAUUCACCCUAAAUUAACAUCCCGUUUGUUCAGAGAAGCAAUGAAAAGCCGAUAACAAUAAAUCAACUACUUCGACAUCGAUGAGUUUGUUGUCAGCACUGUAGUGUGAGGGUGUGAGUGCCAUUUGACAUUCUGAUUCAAAGCUCCUUUUUAUUCCUAUUGUCCCACCAAUCUGUGCAUACUAUUUACCGCUAAAAUACAUCUCAUACUCUGACAUAAAAAGUGAUGACUUCGAUUACCAUCACGACAUCGACAUGAAAAGGUUGCCAGCGCUGAAGUGGGAAUUACUUUGACAUUUUUCUUCAAACUUGUGCAUUUCUUUGAAUCGCGAAUGCAUGUGUGCACGAUCAUCAUCAACCGCCAAAAUGGAAGAAGCACAUAUUGUAGCAAAAAUAUGCAACAGAGGCAACUAAACAGGCAACAAUAUAGCCGACAUCAUAUCAACUAUGCGUAAAAAGAUUCCAAAGAAUGCUGAACUUGAAGCUGAAUUGCCUAUCAUUGCGUAGGAAAAAGUUGCGAUUUACUUGAACCAAUGUACGUUGUUACUUCGCGGUAUAUUUCGAAGGAGUAGGGUGUGCUACUGGCUAUGGCGUCCUAGCAAUGUCAACCUUCCGAUAACCAGAUACUUUCCAAAAAGUGUGGUAAUGUGGACAACCAGUUAUGAUAUUAGACUUGGUGAAUCUAUAACCCUUGGACUUGCGUCAUCCAGAACCUUAUUUAAAGAAUUUUCGGGACAUCCCAAAUGUUACAUCAACUGUCUAAAUAGUAAUUUAGUGUCAAACCACCCUUUGUAUUAUAGGAAGUCUUUCAGUGUAUGAAGAAAUGAUUACAGGACGCUAAUGGUAAACCAAUGCUGCUCAAAUUGAAAGACUGCCUUGUGGAUGACAUUGCUGAAAUAUAACCGACGCAUUAUAAGUAGAAUGUGAUUGGAUUGCAUUUGCCAGCAUAUACGUUACACACGAAACAUUUCAGCAUAGCAAGUUGCUCGCCAAAAAUGUUGUUCGACCGAAACUUUAACGAAAGAUGCACAGUGAAUAUGGCUCAGCCUUCCAUCUCUAUAAAGGAACGACAAGCUGAGGCGCUGUCAAUAUAACGAUAUAUGUAGGAAAACCAGAAUAUUCCGACUAACUUUUUUAUUUUAGUAAUGUAUAAUUGGAAGCUGGAUUGCGUUAUGAAAGUAUCUGUGUAUAUAUUUCAACAAACUAUAGUCAUACCAAAGGACCACAAGCGCAGAUUAAAUUAAUUUGAAAUCUUGACUUCAACUCCAUAACAUUUAUGUAUCCACAUCUAUUUUUAAUUAUGUUAUUGGGGAUAAAAGCUAUAAUAUUGCCGACAGCAUAUCAGCUCUAUAUCUGCAAAGGAAUACUUGCAAAUUAAAUCAAAUUCCUACAUUAUUCUGAAGGCGUCUCCAACCAAUUUUUUAUGUGCACACAACUAAAAUAGGGCAACGAUUGCUACAAUAAUUACCUGAAAAUGGACGUAUCGUCCUUAAGGACUGUAAAGUAACGAGUUCUGCUGAAUUUUCUUAUUAAAAUGCGCGGAUAAAUAGCAGUUACGUUUUGAAGAAAGUAUGUAAUGAUCAAACAUGCUACGACGUUACUUUGUCCUUGACCUAUGAUAAACUUCACCACAACUGAAAGCAACUUUUAACAAAACUUACAAGAGUGUGCUGCGUUUGCUAUGCCUAACCAUUAAAUUAAACCAAUUUGACUGACUCUUGCCGCCAACAUAGUAACAAAACGAACAAUACAAACACCACCUAUAUCAUUCACCCUAAAUUAACAUCCCGUUUGUUCAGAGAAGCAAUGAAAAGCCGAUAACAAUAAAUCAACUACUUCGACAUCGAUGAGUUUGUUGUCAGCACUGUAGUGUGAGGGUGUGAGUGCCAUUUGACAUUCUGAUUCAAAGCUCCUUUUUAUUCCUAUUGUCCCACCAAUCUGUGCAUACUAUUUACCGCUAAAAUACAUCUCAUACUCUGACAUAAAAAGUGAUGACUUCGAUUACCAUCACGACAUCGACAUGAAAAGGUUGCCAGCGCUGAAGUGGGAAUUACUUUGACAUUUUUCUUCAAACUUGUGCAUUUCUUUGAAUCGCGAAUGCAUGUGUGCACGAUCAUCAUCAACCGCCAAAAUGGAAGAAGCACAUAUUGUAGCAAAAAUAUGCAACAGAGGCAACUAAACAGGCAACAAUAUAGCCGACAUCAUAUCAACUAUGCGUAAAAAGAUUCCAAAGAAUGCUGAACUUGAAGCUGAAUUGCCUAUCAUUGCGUAGGAAAAAGUUGCGAUUUACUUGAACCAAUGUACGUUGUUACUUCGCGGUAUAUUUCGAAGGAGUAGGGUGUGCUACUGGCUAUGGCGUCCUAGCAAUGUCAACCUUCCGAUAACCAGAUACUUUCCAAAAAGUGUGGUAAUGUGGACAACCAGUUAUGAUAUUAGACUAAUGCUGUCGCCGACAUAAAACGUAUACAUUGGAGGAAA